UGCCUAUUGUGGCGACGCCAGGUAGUUUUUUCAUUCCUCAACAUGAAACGGCAAAUGAUGGUGGCGUCGUUCAACGAAAUUACUGCGAGAAAAAGAGCGGUCCUUCGACGUUUGCGGUGAAUGACGUACGACCGGUUGAAAAGAAGAAAGUAAGGUUCACUCCGAAAAGACCGAGCAAUAUCGAGCAAAAGGCGGGAUAUCGUCAGACGAAAUUGGACGAUUUCCACAGUUUCAUGUUACCGGACUAUCGGCCUAACAUGUACUGAAAGGAAAUCGGGAUCGGGGUUGGUAUUUUUAGUGUGAUUAAUUGAAAGUAUAACAAUCGAGUCAUCACAUUACUAAUGAUAUAUUAUUACAUAGCACAA
rnacentral:misc_RNA from 1 species